rnacentral:rRNA from 1 species
UACAGAGGGGGCAAGCGUUGUUCGGAAUUACUGGGCGUAAAGGGCGCGUAGGCGGCCUGCUAAGUCGAACGUGAAAUCCCCGGGCUCAACCCGGGAACUGCGUCCGGUACUGGCAGGCUUGAAUCCGGGAGAGGGAUGUGGAAUUCCAGGUGUAGCGGUGAAAUGCGUAGAUAUCUGGAGGAACACCGGUGGCGAAGGCGGCAUCCUGGACCGGCAUUGACGCUGAGGCGCGAAAGCCAGGGGAGCAAACGGG